rnacentral:rRNA from 1 species
UGGAGGGGGAUAACUACUGGAAACGGUAGCUAAUACCGCAUAACGUCGCAAGACCAAAGAGGGGGACCUUCGGGCCUCUUGCCAUCGGAUGUGCCCAGAUGGGAUUAGCUUGUUGGUGGGGUAACGGCUCACCAAGGCGACGAUCCCUAGCUGGUCUGAGAGGAUGACCAGCCACACUGGAACUGAGACACGGUCCAGACUCCUACGGGAGGCAGCAGUGGGGAAUAUUGCACAAUGGGCGCAAGCCUGAUGCAGCCAUGCCGCGUGUAUGAAGAAGGCCUUCGGGUUGUAAAGUACUUUCAGCGGGGAGGAAGGGAGUAAAGUUAAUACCUUUGCUCAUUGACGUUACCCGCAGAAGAAGCACCGGCUAACUCCGUGCCAGCAGCCGCGGUAAUACGGAGGGUGCAAGCGUUAAUCGGAAUUACUGGGCGUAAAGCGCACGCAGGCGGUUUGUUAAGUCAGAUGUGAAAUCCCCGGGCUCAACCUGGGAACUGCAUCUGAUACUGGCAAGCUUGAGUCUCGUAGAGGGGGGUAGAAUUCCAGGUGUAGCGGUGAAAUGCGUAGAGAUCUGGAGGAAUACCGGUGGCGAAGGCGGCCCCCUGGACGAAGACUGACGCUCAGGUGCGAAAGCGUGGGGAGCAAACAGGAUUAGAUACCCUGGUAGUCCACGCCGUAAACGAUGUCGACUUGGAGGUUGUGCCCUUGAGGCGUGGCUUCCGGAGCUAACGCGUUAAGUCGACCGCCUGGGGAGUACGGCCGCAAGGUUAAAACUCAAAUGAAUUGACGGGGGCCCGCACAAGCGGUGGAGCAUGUGGUUUAAUUCGAUGCAACGCGAAGAACCUUACCUGGUCUUGACAUCCACGGAAGUUUUCAGAGAUGAGAAUGUGCCUUCGGGAACCGUGAGACAGGUGCUGCAUGGCUGUCGUCAGCUCGUGUUGUGAAAUGUUGGGUUAAGUCCCGCAACGAGCGCAACCCUUAUCCUUUGUUGCCAGCGGUCCGGCCGGGAACUCAAAGGAGACUGCCAGUGAUAAACUGGAGGAAGGUGGGGAUGACGUCAAGUCAUCAUGGCCCUUACGACCAGGGCUACACACGUGCUACAAUGGCGCAUACAAAGAGAAGCGACCUCGCGAGAGCAAGCGGACCUCAUAAAGUGCGUCGUAGUCCGGAUUGGAGUCUGCAACUCGACUCCAUGAAGUCGGAAUCGCUAGUAAUCGUGGAUCAGAAUGCCACGGUGAAUACGUUCCCGGGCCUUGUACACACCGCCCGUCACACCAUGGGAGUGGGUUGCAAAAGAAGUAGGUAGCUUAACCUUCGGGAGGGCGCUUACCACUUUGUGAUUCAUGACUGGGGUGAAGUCGUAACAAGGUAACCGUAGGGGAACCUGCGGUUGGAUCACCUCCUUA